UGGGAAUAUUGGACAAUGGGCGCAAGCCUGAUCCAGCCAUGCCGCGUGAGUGAUGAAGGCCUUAGGGUUGUAAAGCUCUUUCGACGGGGACGAUAAUGACGGUACCGUAGAAGAAGCCCCGGCUAACUUCGUGCCAGCAGCCGCGUAAUACGAAGGGGGCUAGCGUUGCUCGGAAUCACUGGGCGUAAAGGGCGCGUAGGCGGACGUUUAAGUCAGAGGUGAAAGCCCAGGGCUCAACCCUGGAAUGGCCUUUGAUACUGGACGUCUUGAGUCUGGUAGAGGUUGGUGGAACUGCGAGUGUAGAGGUGAAAUUCGUAGAUAUUCGCAAGAACACCGGUGGCGAAGGCGGCCAACUGGACCAGAACUGACGCUGAGGCGC
rnacentral:rRNA from 1 species